AGCCAGUGUGGUGUAGUGGUUAGAGCAUUGGACUAGGGCUUGGCAGAGACCAGGGUUCAAAUCCCUACUUGGCCG